rnacentral:rRNA from 1 species
GACGAACGCUGGCGGCGUGCUUAACACAUGCAAGUCGAACGGAAAGGCCCUGCUUUUGUGGGGUGCUCGAGUGGCGAACGGGUGAGUAACACGUGAGUAACCUGCCCUUGACUUUGGGAUAACUUCAGGAAACUGGGGCUAAUACCGGAUAGGAGCUCCUGCUGCAUGGUGGGGUUGGAAAGUUUCGGCGGUUGGGGAUGGACUCGCGGCUUAUCAGCUUGUUGGUGGGGUAGUGGCUUACCAAGGCUUUGACGGGUAGCCGGCCUGAGAGGGUGACCGGCCACAUUGGGACUGAGAUACGGCCCAGACUCCUACGGGAGGCAGCAGUGGGGAAUAUUGCACAAUGGGCGGAAGCCUGAUGCAGCAACGCCGCGUGCGGGAUGACGGCCUUCGGGUUGUAAACCGCUUUCGCCUGUGACGAAGCGUGAGUGACGGUAUUGGGUAAAGAAGCACCGGCUAACUACGUGCCAGCAGCCGCGGUAACAC